rnacentral:lncRNA from 1 species
AUUAAUUCUGCACAUUAAAAGCAUAUUCAGAUCAACAGAAUGGCCAUCUACCCUGGAAUCCCAGGAUCUUCACAUCCUAUAAGUGAGAGAGUUUUGAGCAUGUUUGUCAGCAGGUGAAAAGAAGUUCACAUGGAAGACACUAAGAAAGAUAUAGCUAAUGGCACAAGAUCCCAGAGGAAUGGGAUCAGAAGCUCUGACAGAAAUCAUAGUCCUCUAUUAGAAUGGAGACAUGGGGCUGGAAGAAAGGAGUUCUGGAGGCUGGUAGUUCAAGAUCACGGUGCCAGUGCAGUUGGGUUCUGGUGAAGAAUUUCCUCCUGGCUUGUGGAAGGUGCCUUCUUGCUAUGUCCUCACAGAGGGGAAGAUCAGAGAACUGCAGCAUCACAGUAAAGGCAAGUAAGGGCAAGCAGCCAUUUGUAAAACUUGUUGACAUGAUUUUUUUUGCCUCUUGUAGAAAUACAUUGAGAAAACACACUUCUUUAAAUCCAUACUUUGAGAAAGUUCAUAAACAAAAGCCAAGAACUACCUGUGAUUAG